AUUGAACGCUGGCGGCAGGCCUAACACAUGCAAGUCGAGCGAGCGGCGGACGGGUGAGUAAUGUCUGGGAAACUGCCUGAUGGAGGGGGAUAACUACUGGAAACGGUAGCUAAUACCGCAUACCAUCAGAUGUGCCCAGAUGGGAUUAGCUAGUAGGUGGGUUAACGGCUCACCUAGGCGACGAUCCCUAGCUGGUCUGAGAGGAUGACCAGCCACACUGGACCUGAUACACGGUCCAGACUCCUACGGGAGGCAGCAGUGGGGAAUAUGGCACAAUGGGCGCACGCUGGACGCAGCGAUGCGGCGGGUGUGAAGAAGGCCUUCGGGUUGUAAAGCACUUUCAGCGGGGAGGCGUUACCCGCAGAAGAAGCACCGGCUAACUCCGUGCCAGCAGCCGCGGUAAUAC
rnacentral:rRNA from 1 species